UWUAAUAKRGRRGUCGGACCUGCCCAGUGAUUAAAUUUCAACGGCCGCGGUAUCCCGACCGUGCAAAGGUAGCAUAAUCAUUUGCCCUAUAAUUGAGGGCUAGUAUGAAUGGUUUGACAAGAGUUAUUCUGUCUCUACAAAAAUUUCUAGAAUUUAUUCUUUGAGUGAAGAAACUCAAAUAUCAUUGAUAGACAAGAAGACCCUAUCGAGCUUUAAAAACAUUUUUAAAAUAAAAAAAAUCAGUUGAUAAUUUUAAUUAGAAAAAAUUUUGGUUGGGGCGACUAAGGAACAAUUAAAGCUUCUUAAUAAUAUUCAAUGUAUAAAUAUUGAUCCACUACUUAGUGAUUAAAAGAAUUAGUUACCGUAGGGAUAACAGCAUAAUUCUUUUUGAGAGUCCGUAUCGAAAAAAGAGUUUGUGACCUCGAUGUUGGACUAGAAUAUCCCGACAGGUGCAGAAGCCUUCAAAGGUUGGUCUGUUCGACCAUWWAAAAWWUCWSAAAAAA
rnacentral:rRNA from 1 species